UACAGGGGGUGCAAACGUUGCUCGGAAUCAUUGGGCGUAAAGCGCACGUAGGCGGUCUGUUAUGUCGGAUGUGAAAGCCCUUGGCUUAACUGAGGAAGUGCAUCCGAAACUGGCAGGCUAGAGUACUAAAGAGGGUCGCGGAAUUCCCGGUGUAGAGGUGAAAUUCGUAGAUAUCGGAAGGAACACCGGUGGCGAAGGCGGCGACCUGGGUAGAUACUGACGCUGAGGUGCGAAAGCGUGGGGAGCGAACAGG
rnacentral:rRNA from 1 species